rnacentral:lncRNA from 1 species
AAAAAUAACAUAUGUAUGAAAGAUUUCAAUGCCAAUUAUUGAAACAGCUAUACUUAUUACACACACACAUUGACCUUCUAUCAGAAAAAAGAGUUGCAAUGAAUAUAGAAUUAUAUCGGAUGAGACGAGGGCCAACUUCUUUUACAAGUAUUUGCACAUGCUUUUAGUAAUCCCUCUUGUUUUGGGGAAAUAAUGAGACAUCUCUAAUCAUCAACCUACGAC